rnacentral:rRNA from 1 species
AAUGAACGCUGGCGGCGUGCUUCAGACAUGCAAGUCGUACGAGAAAGCUCUUUCGGGAGUGAGUAAAGUGGCGCACGGGUGAGUAAUACUUAGGUAAUGUACCUUCUCGCUGGGGAUAACCAGGCGAAAGCUUGGCUAAUACCGAAUGAUCCCGUUUUUACUGCGGUGAAAACGGCAAAGCCGUAAGGCGCGAGAUGAGCAGCCUGAGUCCCAUUAGUUAGUUGGUAGGGUAANGGCCUACCAAGACUAGGAUGGGUAGCUGGUCUGAGAGGAUGAUCAGCCACACUGGUACUGCAACACGGACCAGACUCCUACGGGAGGCAGCAGUUAGGAAUUUUGCGCAAUGGGGGAAACCCUGACGCAGCAACGCCGCGUGAGUGAUGAAGGCCUUCGGG